GGAAGAUCCAAACCAUGAAAUGAACUCUGACCGAGGCACAAACACUUCAGAUGAAAGUGCAGGCGAAGAUGUAAUGAAUGAAGAUAGAGCUAACUCAGUU